GUAGGUGAACCUGCGGAAGGAUCAUUACAAAUUCGACCCCUCAGUUUGAGCACUUGAGCGCCAGCGAAAGUGCGAACAACUGACGGGGGAGCAUCGGUUUGGAAUUGCGUGCGUGUGUCAUUACACGUACGACAAAACCACCGAUACAUACGUGCGUUUUGGAGCUAUGUAUACGUGAUUAAAAACCACGGAUACAAAAGCACCAACAACAAACACAAUCACGCUUUUUACGUCUGACUGUAAUUUACAAACCAAAAGAUACAACUUUAAACAACGAAUCUCUUGGCUCUU
rnacentral:misc_RNA from 1 species